rnacentral:rRNA from 1 species
GACGAACGCUGGCGGCGUGCUUAACACAUGCAAGUCGAACGGAAAGGCCCUGCUUUUGUGGGGUGCUCGAGUGGCGAACGGGUGAGUAACACGUGAGUAACCUGCCCUUGACUUUGGGAUAACUUCAGGAAACUGGGGCUAAUACCGGAUAGGAGCUCCUGCUGCAUGGUGGGGGUUGGAAAGUUUCGGCGGUUGGGGAUGGACUCGCGGCUUAUCAGCUUGUUGGUGGGGUAGUGGCUUACCAAGGCUUUGACGGGUAGCCGGCCUGAGAGGGUGACCGGCCACAUUGGGACUGAGAUUCGGCCCAGACUCCUACGGGAGGCAGCAGUGGGGAAUAUUGCACAAUGGGCGGAAGCCUGAUGCAGCAACGCCGCGUGCGGGAUGACGGCCUUCGGGUUGGAAACCGCUUUCGCCUGUGACGAAGCGUGAGUGACGGUAAUGGGUAAAGAAGCACCGGCUAACUACGUG